rnacentral:rRNA from 1 species
CUUGACGACCAUAAGAGCAUUGGAACCACCUGAUCCCAUCCCGAACUCAGCAGUGAAACGAUGCAUCGCCGAUGGUAGUGUGGGGUUUCCCCAUGUGAGAGUAGGUCAUCGUCAAGA